CGGCAAAGCAACUAGCAAGCGAUGAUUCAAGUCUACAAACGAUUUGUCGAUUUCAUCAUUUCAGCGUCCGACUUCUUGACUUGACGACUUCGAUUGAAUCGAUUCCAACGGUAAAUCAGCAAGCGACGAAGGACGAUUCAUUCCUCAAGUCUCAAGACCUUAGACCUCAACGGCACAACGGUAAAUCGGCGAUUUUACGAUGAAGAAUCCGAUGUGUCGACUUCUCAAGCUUAAUUUCAUAAUUCGAAGUUUCCGUUCAAUUCUGUUUUGAUUUCGAGUUCAAGCUUCAAGAAUCAUUUCAAUUGUUUAUCACCAUUCAUUGAGUGAGUUUAGGGCAGCAGGAAAAAGGUAUCAAUUUAUUUGAUUAUUUCCUAAACUGUAAUUGCUAAUGCUUGUUAUUUGCUAACAUUAGGCUGCUGACC